GACCAAAGCAACUAUGGGGGGU
rnacentral:siRNA from 1 species